CGAUCAAAAUCCUCACGCAGACAGCACGCGAGGGGCUGUGUUUAUGACGGCUCGAUAACACAUCUGUUACAAAUCUUGAUCACUGCACAGGACAGUGGGACCCUGCAUACCAGCUAGCAGCAUUGAUCUCCUGCUAGCAGUCUGGCCUGGGAAAAUGCGAGCAACACAAGCAUAGUCCGCGCACAUGAGCCCGACUUGCCGGCCCCCAAAUUAUUGGGUCUUUAUGCAGAAUUAUCAAAAAGAGUAAAACAUAA